rnacentral:rRNA from 1 species
UGGAUCCAGACUUUGAUCAUGGCUCAGGAUGAACGCUAGCUACAGGCUUAACACAUGCGAGUCGAGGGGAAACGACAUCGAAAGCUUGCUUUUGAUGGGCGUCGACCGGCGCACGGGUGAGUAACGCGUAUCCAACCUGCCCAUCACUUGGGGAUAACCUUGCGAAAGUAAGACUAAUACCCAAUGACGUCUCUAGAAGACAUCUGAAAGAGAUUAAAGAUUUAUCGGUGAUGGAUGGGGAUGCGUCUGAUUAGCUUGUUGGCGGGGUAACGGCCCACCAAGGCAACGAUCAGUAGGGGUUCUGAGAGGAAGGUCCCCCACAUUGGAACUGAGACACGGUCCAAACUCCUACGGGAGGCAGCAGUGAGGAAUAUUGGUCAAUGGGCGAGAGCCUGAACCAGCCAAGUAGCGUGCAGGAUGACGGCCCUAUGGGUUGUAAACUGCUUUUAUAAGGGAAUAAAGUGAGUCUCGUGAGACUUUUUGCAUGUACCUUAUGAAUAAGGACCGGCUAAUUCCGUGCCAGCAGCCGCGGUAAUACGGAAGGUCCGGGCGUUAUCCGGAUUUAUUGGGUUUAAAGGGAGCGUAGGCCGGAGAUUAAGCGUGUUGUGAAAUGUAGACGCUCAACGUCUGCACUGCAGCGCGAACUGGUUUCCUUGAGUACGCACAAAGUGGGCGGAAUUCGUGGUGUAGCGGUGAAAUGCUUAGAUAUCACGAAGAACUCCGAUUGCGAAGGCAGCUCACUGGAGCGCAACUGACGCUGAAGCUCGAAAGUGCGGGUAUCGAACAGGAUUAGAUACCCUGGUAGUCCGCACGGUAAACGAUGGAU